CCUGUUUAGUGGACUUUCUUCUUCAGUUUCCUCAUCACUGCAGAUAUCUGCUUCCUUGCGUCUCCCUUCUUCGUCCCGUUGAGAGAAGGGUGACUCACUUUCGUUUCUCGCCUGAAAAAUUUCCAAUUCUUGUACGCCAAACAAGCACUCGAGUCAACCUUUUGUGCUUUUCGUUUCUCCUCUCUUUCCCUAAACUGCGGAUUUGAGAAGGAGGACACCUGAGCCCACAAAACGCCCGACACUCUUACCUCCCCUUUCUACCGUCGAUCGGGGGAAUUCUUUCUGUUUCUCCUUGCCUUUCCGUCCCGUUUUUCUUGCCUCCUCCGGUUCGUCUAAGUGUUCCUUUUCGCCAUUUCCCAGGCGCCCCUUCGUGGGCAGCCGGCGGGAGAGAACCGUGUUGGAAUCCCCCUCGUUUCUCGGGCAGAAAAGGAGGGAUUCGGGACAAGAGGAUCGGUGUUUCUGCCGUGUUGACUGGCCUACGUGGAGCUGUAUGUACAGCUCAGCGUAACACACUCUGGAUCGGUCGAGUUGCGGAAAGGCGCCGAAACAGGACUCAAUGAGUGACAACUUCCCCAUUUGUGUCUUCAGUUCGGACAGCAGUUGGGCGGGCCGGCAGCGACUGAGUUGCGGGAGGCGAGGGAACAGGCGCAAAUACGGGUUGACACAGUGAGCAGCUUCAUUCCCUUCACUUGGAUUCCAGUCACGUGAAACAAAUACCCUUCGUUUCCCCAUCCGCCCGCACGCAGUUCAAUCUUGUAUUUUGCUCUCGAUUCGGCUCCACUUUACUCCUCAACGUUUGUCUUUCGCGGAGGUCGCCCCCGUUCCUCUCGCUUCUGCGCUUUGUGUGUUUUUCGUACUCCAUUGCGCACAGAUGCGACAGUGCAGCGUUUGUUUUCGUCUGCCAGUGACACAGUUCAGCCUUUUUUGGUACACGAGUGCCCGUGCUUUUUUUGAGCUGCAGCGCCGGCGGUCCUCUUUCUAACGUGACGCAUCCCGUUCACGGAAGGCAGCCAUUUCGUUCCGCCGGACACAACCAGGUGAUUGCUUUAACUCUCACGGACUUCUGGGUGUUUUCCGCACACGAGCCUUGUUUUGGUCCUCUACCAUCUCGCCGUCUUGCAUUCCGUGCACGUGCGUUCAUGCUCUCCUUUGCCUUCCUUUUCUCCCGCAUAUUUCGUGUUUGACACUGUUUGUCCUGCCUGUUCGGAGUUGGUUUUGUCCCCUGGUUCCUGUCUUCCGCUUCUUUUCCAUCUGCUCCCUCUUCUUCGUUGCCAGCGGCGUACGGCGUUUCCGCUCUUUUUGACGGUAGCUUUUUCGUCCUUUUCUCGACCUUUGCUUGUUUUUCCUGCUGCUUGGAAAUCGAACUCCGACCACGGUUUUUUGACUGGUCCUUCUCUCACGGAGCUCGUUAAGCUCUGCUGAGCUGCAAAAACGCUGAGAAGCGCACGCACUCGCAACCUUAUCCUUCGUCUCUGUCUUGCUUUCACAUGUUUUAAUCG
rnacentral:lncRNA from 1 species